CGUAAACAAAGGGAAGCGAAGGAGUGAUUUGGAGCGAAUCCCAAAAAUAACGUCUCAGUUCGGAUUGUAGUCUGCAACUCGACUACAUGAAGCUGGAAUCGCUAGUAAUCGCGAAUCAGAAUGUCGCGGUGAAUACGUUCCCGGGUCUUGUACACACCGCCCGUCACACCAUGGGAGUCAGUAACGCCCGAAGUCAGUGACCCAACCGGAACAGGAGGGAGCUGCCGAAGGUGGGACCGAUAACUGGGGUGAAGUCGUAACAAGGUAAC
rnacentral:rRNA from 1 species